rnacentral:rRNA from 1 species
UACGUAGGGAGCAAGCGUUGUUCGGAUUUACUGGGCGUAAAGGGCGCGUAGGCGGCGCGGUAAGUCACUUGUGAAAUCUCUGAGCUUAACUCAGAACGGCCAAGUGAUACUGCAGUGCUAGAGUGUAGAAGGGGCAAUCGGAAUUCUUGGUGUAGCGGUGAAAUGCGUAGAUAUCAAGAGGAACACCUGAGGUGAAGACGGGUUGCUGGUCUAACACUGACGCUGAGGCGCGAAAGCCAGGGGAGCAAACGGG